rnacentral:rRNA from 1 species
UACGAGGGGGGCGAGCGUUGUUCGGAAUUAUUGGGCGUAAAGGGUGCGUAGGCGGUUUGGUAAGUCUUAUGUGAAAUCUACAGGCUCAACUUGUAGUCUGCAUGAGAAACUGCCGGGCUUGAGUAUGGGAGAGGUGAGUGGAAUUCCUGGUGUAGCGGUGAAAUGCGUAGAUAUCAGGAGGAACACCUGUGGCGAAAGCGGCUCACUGGACCAUAACUGACGCUGAUGCACGAAAGCUAGGGGAGCAAACGGG